rnacentral:rRNA from 1 species
UACGGAGGAUCCGAGCGUUAUCCGGAUUUAUUGGGUUUAAAGGGUGCGUAGGUGGCCUGUUAAGUCAGGGGUGAAAGACGGUAGCUCAACUAUCGCAGUGCCCUUGAUACUGAUGGGCUUGAAUGAACUAGAGGUAGGCGGAAUGUGACAAGUAGCGGUGAAAUGCAUAGAUAUGUCACAGAACACCAAUUGCGAAGGCAGCUUACUAUGGUUUUAUUGACACUGAGGCACGAAAGCGUGGGGAGUCAAACAGGA